GCCCCCGUAGCUUAACAGGAUAGAGCAAUGCACUUCUAAUGCAUAGGUUAUAGGUUCAAGUCCUAUCGGGGGUA
rnacentral:tRNA from 1 species